rnacentral:rRNA from 1 species
AGAGAGAGACAUGCGCGCAUAUCAAUAAGCGGAGGAAAAGAAACUAACAAGGAUUCCCCUAGUAACGGCGAGUGAAGCGGGAAGAGCUCAAAUUUGAAAUCUUAAAGGGUUUCCCUUUACGAAUUGUAGUUUAAAGAAGUGUUUUCUGUUGAGGUUUCGGUAAAAGUUCUUUGGAAUAGGACAUCAUAGAGGGUGAGAAUCCCGUAUUUGACCUUUACUUUCAACUUUGUGAUACACUUUCAAAGAGUCGGAUUGUUUGGGAAUGCAGUCCAAAAUGGGUGGUAAAUUUCAUCUAAAGCUAAAUAUUGGCGAGAGACCGAUAGCGAACAAGUACCGUGAGGGAAAGAUGAAAAGAACUUUGAAAAGAGAGUUAAACAGUACGUGAAAUUGUCAAAAGGGAAGCGUUUGACACCAGUGUUGUUUUUCUGAAAAUCAAUUAAAGAACUGUUUAUGCUAAGUUGUUUAGACUUUAUCAGCUAACUGUUUAGUUUUGAGCUUUUCUUUAAUGCACUCUUCAGUUAACAAAUCAACAUCAAUUUCUUUUGCUGUAAAAAAGCUUGAGGAAGGUGGCUUGAGAUUCGUCUUAAGUGUUUAUAGCCUCUUGCCUAUGCAGUCGGAGAGAUUGAGGUCUGCAGCGUAGAUCCUUCGGGGCUAAAUGCAUUUGUGCUAAGUUAUAACAUUUUAUAGACAACUUGUUGACUAUGAUUUGUCUUGUAGCUUACUCGCUUAUGUUAUUUUACCUACGCUUAGGAUGUUGGAGCGCAUGUCUCUCUCU